ACCUCCCUCAGUCUGACUGAACAGAAACUGAACUUUGUUCUGCAGCUGGAAUCUGCAUCAGACACUGAUACAGUUCACUGAACACAUCAGGCCAGAAUUUAUAUUUCCAUUAAACACAAGAACAUAUUCAGUUAUGAUAUUAAGACAUUAUAUUUUAAAAUGAUACUUUUUCAUGAUGAUUUUAGAUGUUUGACUUUAUUUUUCCGAUUUAGAAAAGAAGGAUUUUAUUUUCAAAAUCUUGAGGAAGGCUGAAGUAACUUUGAUUUUAGAAAGGCUACAAAAUAUUUUCCAUGUUUUAUUUUUAAACAAUCAUACAUGAAGUCAAGGAAAAACAUUGGUAAUUUAUUCUCAUAAGCACAUGUAGGAAGAAAGGAAAAACAAUCCAGGAGGUUCUUUAUUGUUGUGUUGGCUCUGGUUAGAAUAAUUUAAUAAGUCUGCCAUUAUUAUUUUAAAAUAAUUCAUAUCUAAUCAUUAUUAAUGCUUGAUCCUGCAUUUAGUUUUUAGAACCUGGACCAUAUGACUGACAGAUGACUAGACCCAACAUGUUUUGAAUAUUUGGUUCUAAAGGUUCUUCCAGAUAUUUUUCACAGACAGAAAUACAACAAGCUGAGAUGUGAAGUCAUUUCUUGUUCUGCAAAUUAACAAAUAGAGACAUAAACAGUUGUCAGAUAUUAAUGACAGAAAGGUAUGAAAACUUUUUCUCUGAAUUAUCAAGAAGUACAUGACAUUAGUGCGGUCUGUCAGCAGGAAAAAACUUUUUCAAAAGGUAAAAAAUUGGAUUCUUUGCCAAUUUAAUAAUUUUGAAAAGAUUCCAGCUUAAUGUGAUCAUUUUAUCAAGUUAUAAAUUAAACAACAAACCGUUGGGAAACUAGUUUGAAUAGGACAAACUAAAUCUUCUAGUGUAAAGAUUAUUUUGAUGAUAAACUACGAUGAAACGCUCAUAAAGAUAUAUACAUAGUUUGUAAACACAUUUAAAUAUCUUAUUUUGUCAUAGAGAGUCACUUUGCAUCAGCAGCUCCAUGCUCCAGCGCUCUGGGAGAGUUUAUAGUCCUGACAGUUGAACUCUGGAUGACUGACAGCUGUCCUUCAUCACAACAGAAGACACAGAAAUCCUCCUCAUCAAAAACAUGACUUUGAUCUGCGUCCUCAUCUGGACUCUCCUCUGCUUCACUCAGGGUGAGGAAAAUCAUUUUUCUGUCAUGUGAAAAUCAUUUGGAGUGUAGCUGAGUUUCACCAUCUCAUGUCCAGAGUUUCUUCUCUCUCCUCAGGAUCUGACGGACAAAAUGUUGUUGUGACUCAAUCAGCAGCCAAAUCAGUGCAGCUUGGUCAGACUGUCACUAUUGACUCUGUUAAGAGGUCAGAGUUGAUCAGUGGCUGUCCAGGCCUUUCAGAGCCACUGACACACCAGCAGCACAAUGAUGAUGUCACUGACUCUACUGCUGACCAUCCUGGGGCUCCUGGUUCAGGGUUCAUCAGGAGACAUCAUCCUUACUCAGACUCCUGGAUCUCAGUCUGUUGAUCCAGGACAGACUGUCUCCAUCACAUGUAAAACCAGUUCAAGUGUUAGUAACUAUCUCCACUGGUACCUUCAGAAACCUGCAGAAGCUCCUAAACUCCUGAUUCGAUAUGCUACAACUCUUCAGUCUGGAGUUCCAGCUCGUUUCAGUGGAAGUGGAUCUGUUUCUGACUUCACUCUGACCAUCAGUGGAGUUCAGGCUGAAGAUUCAGGAGUUUAUUACUGUCAGCAGGGUUACACACCGUUCACACAGUGAUAGAAUGUUGUACAAAAACCUCCCUCAGUUUCAGGGGAACUGAUCUGACUCAACAGCUGCACUGAAACUAAAACAUUGAACAUUUCCACAAAUUAUUUAUUUAUUUAUUUUGAUUAAUUUUCUAUUUUUUAAAAGUUUAUUUAUUCAUUCAGUCUUUUUCCAAGCAGUCAUUUUUGAAAAACCUCUGACUUCUGAUGAUGGUAGUUCUUAAAUAUUUUUUCAUAGCUUUCAUAACAGUAAAAAUUUGGAAUCUUUGCCAAUGAAAUUGUUUUAAAAAGAUUCCAGCUCAUUGUUAUUGUUUCUUUUGAAUAAAUCAAGUUAUGAAUAAAAGUUUGAUAAGUGGAAUCAACAAACCUUUGGAAAAUAGUUUGAAUAGAAAAAACAAGAUGUUGCAGUUUAAAGAUUGUUUUGUUUAUUCACAUCAAAAAGUUCAUAAAGAUCUAAAAAUCCUAGAUCUACAGAGAAUUCCUUGAUUUGCUUGGAACAAUUAAAGAAACAAAAAAAGCACUAGGAGUUUAAACAAUUUUUAUUUUGAAAUAUUUUUAUCAAAUCAUUUUUGUUCCAAGCAGCCAUUUUUGAAAAACCUCUUAAUUCUGAUGAUGGUAAUUCCUAAAUAUUUAUUCCCUAGUUUUAAAACUGUAUUCCAAAUAUGUUUUAAAUUUAAUAAUGAUUUGCAGGGCAUUUAAUUCUAUAAAUGACCACUCUGAAUAUAUAUAUAUAUAUUUUCUCCAAUCAGUGAAAAGGAAUCACAUCAACUAUUCAUAUCACAGAAAUUAUGACUUUUCUGGUAUUUAAGGAUUAUAAAAGAGGCAAAAAACAUGAUAAACGUUUUCAGUUACACAUUUUAUUGAGUAGAUCUCAGGAAUAAUAACUCAAUAGAAUUUCUUUAAAAUAAAUUGCUCCUCUUUAAAUGAUACUU